CAGGAAGAUAAGCUGGACCUGAUACAGGAGAGAUCAAGGGCAACCUGGAACCUUUCCCUGUCUUUCACCACAACUAACCCUAUAGAAGAGGUAUGUGCCCUUUACCAUAGGGGUGCACACACACCUGAGCCAAAACUCAGCAGGAGCUGAGGGGAGCUGCAGAACUGGCCGCUGCUCCAUGCUAAGGAGAUGGAAAGAAUCCCAAGAGACCAGUGAAGCAAGAAAUUAUCAAAGCUGCGGUAUUUACGAAGUCACUUUGUGCCAGUGCCCCAGCAAGCUGCCACCAUGGCUGCCAAGCCCUGUCACCCUUGCUGAUCAGUACAGAGAGGGGCUCGCUGCGCUGGGUAGAGGAAGCAGGAAGUUUGCUGAACUCAGACGGAAGAAAAAGGAUUCCUCUGGAGAAUCCCAGCAGGUUUCUGAUUGGACAUGGGUCCAUGUCCUUGUGAAGUCUCCUCCUCCUGAACCUGCCCUGCUCUGUGACUUGCUUUUGACCACCAGCAUGCUGCAGAAGUGAUGCCGUGUGACUUCUGAGUGGGUCAUAGGAAGCCUUGCAGUGUGGCCUGGGUCUUCAGGAAUGCUUGUUUGAGGAAAACCACUGUCAUGUAAGAAGUAUGGCUACCCUGAGACUGUCAUGGUGUGAGGACUCCUAAAUGAGUCACAUGUGGAUGGCCACCUAUUCAGGCCUCAGUUCUUCCAGCCAUUGCGACUGUGGCCCACGCAUGUGGGGGAAGAGGCCAUUUUUCACGCCCAUCCCAGUUGAGUCUUUAGAUGAUCCCUUCCUGGGCCUCCAGCUGACUGUAACCAGACUCCAGGCAGGAACCACAUAGGAACUGAACCCAGUCAACCCACAGGCUGGGGAGGAUGAUAGUCCAUUGUUGUAUAAAGCCACUGCAUUUGGAAUGGUCUGUUGUAUACUACCUAAUCAGAACAAGACUCAAUCCUUUCUUCAUAGCUGGUAGUCUUAAGCAUUUAUUAAUUCAUAUUUUAGUCACAUUAUGAAUUUUCUAUCACAAUAAGCAUUUAUUGAGCACUUUUUAUAGAGGGACUAUGCUAGGCUUGAAGAAUAAAAGACACAUAGGACACGGCCCUGCUUAUGUUCAGGUAGCUGUGGUCUAAACGAGGACGCACACAUAAGGUGAAGACCCCAUGAGAUGGAAUACACGGGGAUAACAAGCCUCACAGUGGACUGGUCGCUUUACCAGGGGUGAGGCGAUUCUGCCUAUAAGGUAGGGAAGGACUUUCUGAAAGGGUGACACUGAGUUCCACCUUGAAAAAUGCCUGAGAAUUCACCCAUAGACACAGUGGAAGAGGGGUGUUCCGAGGAAGGGAGAUCAAUGUGCAGAGAGACAGAAAUCCCGGUUCGCUUAUUCCCAACAAGGCAGAGAACAAACCUCUCCCAGUGAUGCCCUCCCUUGUUCCCGUCCCCAAUCUUUUGAUAAUAGUGGGAAGGGUUUCAAAGUGAGGGUUAAAAAUGGGCUGGUUUUGCCACCCCUUAGUAAGUCUUGGGCAGGAUUCUCAACUCUUGACACUCAUUAAAAUCACCUGGGAAGCUUUUGCAAAACUCCAGCAUGGUACAACUACUUUAGAAACUGGUGUUAUCCAUUAAAACUAAACAUUUGCUUAUCUUAGCAAUUCCACUCCUAGGUUUAUAGAGUAAACAGAAACACAUACGUGCCUGUGUCAAAAAACAUGUAUAGGCAUGUUCAAGACCACACUGUUUGGCCAAGUGCCCUAGUUCAUGCCUGUAAUCCCAGCAUCUUGGGAGGCCAAGGCGGGAGUAUUGCUUGAGGCCAGGAGUUUGAGACCAGCCUGGGCAUCAUAGUGAGACUCCCAUCUUGACACACACACAGUUUUUUUUUUUAAUUAGCUGGGUGUGGUGGCGUGCACCUGUAGUCCUAGCUACUUGGGAGGCUGAGGUGAUAGGAUCCCUUGAGCCCAGAAGUUCAAGGCUGAAAUGAGCUAUGAUUGUGUCACAGCACUCCAGUAUGGGCAACAGAGAGAUCCUAUGUCCAAAACAAAAACAAAAACAAAACAAAAAUACACACAUUAUUUGUAAGAUGUAAAAAAAGGGAACAAUCCAUGUGUAUCAAUAGAAUAGUUAUAUGCUGUGUAUGCGUAAUUAGUGUCUUAACCUGUUCAGGCUGCUGAAUACCUCAACUGGGUAAUUUACAAACAACAGAAUUUAUGGCUCAUGGUUCUAGAGGCUAGGUAGUCUAAGAUGCAAACGUCAACAGAUUUGAUGUCUGGUAAGGCCCUGUUCAUCAUAGAUGGCACCCUUUUGCUGUGUCCUCACAUGGCAAAAGGGACAAACAGGAUUUUUUCAAGCCUCUUUUAUGAGGGUACUAAUUCCAUUUAUGGGGGGAGAGCCUUUGUAACCCAUUCACUUCCUAAAGCCCCCACCACUUAAUACUAUUGGAGAUUAGAUUUCAAUAUAUGAAAUUUGGGUGGGACACAAACAUUCAUACCAUAGCGGGCAGACAAUGUAAUACUAUACAGCAAUGAAAAGAAAUGAACAACAGCGACCCAGAACAACAUGAAUGAACUUUUUUUUUUUUUUUGACAGAGUCUUGCUCUAUUGCCCAGGCUGGAAUGCAGUGACACAAUCUUGGCCCAACCUCCACCUCUUGGGUUCAAGCAAUUCUCCUGCCUCCGCCUUCCGAGUAGCUGGGAUUACAGGCACACGCCACCAUGCCCAGCCAAUUUUUGUAUUUCUAGUAGAGAUGGGGUUUUGCCACGUUGAUCAGGCUGGUCUUGAACUCCUGACCUCGGGUGAUCCGCCUGCCUCAGCCUCCCAAAGUGCUGGGAUUGCAGGCAUGAGCCACUGCGCCAGGCCCAUGAAUGAAUCUUAAAAAUAAAAUAGUGAAUCAAGGAAGUCAGACACAAAGAGUACAUACUCUACGGCUGCAUUUCUAUAAAUAUCAAAAAGAGGCAAAACAAAUGUGUGGUGUUAGAAAUCAGGAGAGUGUUACUAUCCUGGGGAGGAAGGAGAAGACCUGAAGGAACUUGAGGGGGGCUUUGGCCUGCUGGUAGAGCUUUUUUUUUUUUUGUCUCGAUCUAGGUGGUAGUUACAUACGGAUAUUCACGUUGUAAAAGUUUGCCAAGGCUUUAAUGUAAUUAUCUGAUGCAUAUUAUAAUUAAAAUGGAAAGUUUGUUUUAAAAGUACCAGUGCUUGGUCUCCACCCCUAUGGACUCUGGUUUUAUUGCUCUGGGAAGGAGCUC
rnacentral:lncRNA from 10 species